rnacentral:rRNA from 1 species
UACGUAGGGUGCAAGCGUUAAUCGGAAUUACUGGGCGUAAAGCGUGCGCAGGCGGUUUUGUAAGACUGUCGUGAAAUCCCCGGGCUCAACCUGGGAAUUGCAUUUGUGACUGCACGGCUAGAGUGUGUCAGAGGGGGGUAGAAUUCCACGUGUAGCAGUGAAAUGCGUAGAGAUGUGGAGGAAUACCGAUGGCGAAGGCAGCCCCCUGGGAUAACACUGACGCUCAUGCACGAAAGCGUGGGGAGCAAACAGG